AACUUUCCUUCCUUUUUUCGGUCUCCCUCAAAAAUUGUUCCACCAAAACCUCCAGAUCUAAGCAAGUCUCUAGGCUUCAUCAAAGUGUAGCCUUUUAUUUUACCACUGCUCCUUGCCAAACAUCUUAGGUGUCUCUCCUCUCAUCAUCAUCAUCAUCAUCAUCACCACCCUUAACAGACUUUGGGAUAUCUCCUACGUAAGUCUCUAUCGGAGAAGAUGAAAAAAAUGUGUGUCAACUUUGUGAAGUUUGAAGAGGAAAAACUUCAACUAUGGCAACGUCUCUAGGCUUCUUCUUGCCUAAUCGAAACUCAUGCGUCAGAAGAACAAUCACACAGCCUACUUCUGGAGCUUUAAGAAAAAUUUUACUUGCUUGGUGCACCUCUCUUACAAAUGUUCAGGAUGGUGGCUUUGGAUAUGUGAUUUGUGGACCAGAUGAAAAUUAUUUACUAGCCAGCCAACAAUACAUUCAAGGAACGACUCCUCUCCGAUGUGAAGCUUUAGCAAUUAAAGCCGGAAUUCAAUCUGCAAUAGCUUAUGAAUUAUCUAUGUCUCGUUUGAGAUGGAUUCUUGUAUACUCUACAAGGCCAUUACCAAAAGUGCAACUACACCAUGGAAAAUUCAUUUUUCUAAAACACAGAUUGAAUUCUUAAUCAUUUUCCUUCAUACACUUUCUUACAUUGCUACAGAGAGUGUAAUCAGGCGGGCAACUGAGUGACUUGUAAAACUAAACUGGAUAAAUCUACUUAUAUUUGGAUAGAAUCCUUUCCUUCUGAUUUAUCUAAAAUCUUAUAUGCAGGCCUCUCCAGGUCUUUGUAAAAUUAAUUCAUACAAUAAUAAGUAAGUCUCUUAUAAAGUUUCAAUCUAA